AAUGGCAAAUUUCAGGUUAUUCGUCAAAUAACCAAGGUUUCUAUUUCUCUGAUUAAUGCAGUUUAUUUGACAGAUGUGUAAUGCUGUUUGUUGAAAAAUGCAUUAGAACCAAUGAUGGUAAGAUCUUGGCCUAGCAAAUUGGUAAAAUAUUACCUGCUCUUAAUUACUGAAUCAUAUUGUAGGAUAAAAUCUGCUGUUUAUGUAUGAAAAUUUGUACUUUUAUCUCUGAUUAUGUGGUAUAUGCCCAGAAUUUCAUUAUUAAUGAUCGAUUCAUUAAAAUUACUAUUUUUAAUUGUCUA